UACAUGGGGUGCAAACGUUGCUCGGAAUUAUUGGGCGUAAAGCGCGCGUAGGCGGUUACUCAAGUCGGAUGUGAAAGCCCUCGGCUUAACUGAGGAAGUGCACCCGAAACUGAGUAGCUAGAGUACUAAAGAGGGUCGCGGAAUUCCCGGUGUAGAGGUGAAAUUCGUAGAUAUCAGGAGGAACACCGGUGGCGAAGGCGGCAUCCUGGACCGAUAUUGACGCUGAUGCGCGAAAGCCAGGGGAGCAAACGGG
rnacentral:rRNA from 1 species